rnacentral:SRP_RNA from 1 species
UCGUGCUAGAUGGGGAGCUAGCGGUGCCCUGUACCCGCAACCCGCUACAGCGGGGUCGAAUCACCUCUCCCGGCCAGACUUCUUGGGACUACCAUCGCUAAGCGGCGUCGAAGAUCGGGUCCGGCGCGGCAGGAAUGUGCCCAACCCCGCCAGGUUCGGAAGAAAGCAACGGUCAGCACUCCUUUCCUGGGUGUUGUCGGGUUGCCUGGUUGGAGCUGGCUGACGAUGGCAAGCUGGGCGGUUCUGGUCAAAAGAGGGUGCACGA